rnacentral:rRNA from 1 species
GAUUCCUACGGGAGGCAGCAGUGGGGAAUAUUGCACAAUGGGCGCAAGCCUGAUGCAGCAACGCCGCGUGAGGGAUGACGGCCUUCGGGUUGUAAACCUCUUUUAGUAGGGAAGAAGCGAAAGUGACGGUACCUGCAGAAAAAGCACCGGCUAACUACGUGCCAGCAGCCGCGGUAAUACGUAGGGUGCAAGCGUUGUCCGGAAUUAUUGGGCGUAAAGAGCUCGUAGGCGGUUUGUCGCGUCUGCUGUGAAAACUGGAGGCUCAACCUCCAGCCUGCAGUGGGUACGGGCAGACUAGAGUGCGGUAGGGGAGAUUGGAAUUCCUGGUGUAGCGGUGGAAUGCGCAGAUAUCAGGAGGAACACCGAUGGCGAAGGCAGAUCUCUGGGCCGUAACUGACGCUGAGGAGCGAAAGCGUGGGGAGCGAACAGGAUUAGAUACCCUGGUAGUCCACGCCGUAAACGUUGGGAACUAGAUGUGGGGACCAUUCCACGGUCUCCGUGUCGCAGCUAACGCAUUAAGUUCCCCGCCUGGGGAGUACGGCCGCAAGGCUAAAACUCAAAUGAAUUGACGGGG